AAUAUCCAUUAUCUAGCAUACAAAAAUUAAAAAUCUUGCAGAGCAGUGAAAACAAUUUGAUGAGUUGCUCCACAGAAACAAACAAAGGUAACAGAUUAAAAGUAGAAUUGUUCAAGCAUAAUAAAGUCAAGAGGGCUCCAAGGAACCAAUUUAAUUGAUGAACAGAUACAAGAUAUGUUCAAAUGUGGAAAUAUUCCCUUAGCA
rnacentral:misc_RNA from 1 species